AGACAGCAAGCCAACAUUGAAUAAACAUUGUUUUUCCAUCUGAAUCAUCAUUAUGGUUGAUAUUGAAAUUUCAAUGCAAAAUAAAUGUUGAAUCACCAUUAUCAUAUCGAUGAAAACCUGAUGUUAUUAAUGUUGAUGGCAACAAUAUUGGAACAACAUUGAUCCAUAGUUAUCUUUAUGAUUGAUUAAGCAUUGAUAUUUGGUUACCGGGUGAUCCCUGAAUGUGUUGAAAAGUAAUUGAUUUAUAGUGGACAGAGAAACGAUGCGGUUGUUGAAAAGUCAUCGAAAUAUAGUUGACCGGGAAAUAUGAUAGAAAAUGCAUCGAAAUAUAGUUGACCGGGAAAUAUGAUAGAAAAUACAUCGAAAUAUAGUUGACCGGGAAAUAUGAUUGAAAAUCCAUCGAUUUUUGGUUGACCGGGAGAUCAACGGGUGGUAUACCCAACGUACUGCACCGGACACAGCUCAUUUCUGGACCCUUGGCACAAGUACAGGUAAGCUUGCUUAAUGUUCGAUAUGAACCCAGACAGCACAGGCACGCGGUGUGUUUUUAUACAGUCUGUGGGCAGCUGAAGAGACUGGCUCAUUUUCAAAUAAUGUUACCGUUAACUUGUUUAGACAACGGUCACGGUAAAUUAAUAUUAAAGCCUUUCGUGUCCAGCAGUUUCUCGGAGGGAAAAUGUAAAAGCAGUUUAUUAAAGAGAAGUCCUGACUGCUUUAUCGUCGUGUUUUUCACUCUUUUACAGGCUGCCAGAAAGAAUCUACUAUAUUCUACUAUAUUAAUCUUACUAUAGUGAGUGAUUAUUGAAUGAGGCUGUACAUUAUAAAUGUAAUGUUUUAACUCUAGAUGUUUGUUUGUGUGAAUGCUGUGUGUGCGGUGAGUUCUGCGCGAGGAGCAGAGUUGCCAUGAAAACGGGGCGUCAACACAAAAAACGUUACUGGCAAGCAGUAAUCUCCGUCUCUCGCUGCGGUUUACGCUGUUUUAGGUGGACAGAAAGAAACUAUACAGAACAAAGUGAAACUCCAAGAUUUUUGAAAAGAAAAUUGAAUAUAUUUCGCCAAAUUUAAGAAGUCCCUGACAUCAAAACAUGGCUUGUUUUGUUCCUGGACUCUUCAGUGAUGAUGAGCAGAGUCUGAGUGAACCUGCUGUCAGACAAUCACUAUUGCACACCAAAUGCUCUUACUCAGCAGAUGGGGACAGCUACCAUCACCCAAUUUUCACCCAAAAGUGGCUGCGCUAUUCGCCAGACUGGGCAGGAGGGACUGGACGACAACUUAUGCAGGCAUCAGAUGACAAUGAAAUGUAAAUAAAGAGUAGAGAAGCUAAUAAACAUGAAUUUGAUUUUAAA